rnacentral:lncRNA from 1 species
UAUCACCCUCCUCGUACCAAAAUACAAUGACUGGAACACCUCCCCAUCUCAGCCCUAUGACCACCCUAACGCUGCCGCCGGAAAUCGCCUCACUAAACCAUCCAAAAUUUAAACCACAAAACCACCAAGACAUCCUCUUCCCCGUCCUGCAAUUAGUUUCCUUCGAACAACUCUCCAUCAUCUCGAAUAUUCAAAUGAAGGAUCGCCGGAACCACCGUCUCUGGCGAUCCAACCCCAAGCUGACUCAAAGUUACACCCCUGAACCAUCUCAUCUUACCCUUUCCAACCAUCCAUACCACACCCUUCGAAUCCACGUGAAAUGACUCGAAUAUUGAUUUAAAGUUUACCCUAAUACCUAAACCUCACCGGAAUCCGGCCAAACUGGCCUCAGGUGAUCUCCUUCUGUCCUUCUCCCCAACCAUGCCACCCAUAGUCCUCAAACCCUAAUAACCACAAAGAAAACUCAGAUCUGAGACCUUAUUUGGUCUCAGAAUCACAAAACCCCCCUCUUGAAUCCUUUGGCCCUCUCCGGUACUCAAGGCAAAUGCCUUAGAGGUUUAAAAAACUCCCAAAAGAGGCCAGAAACUCAUGGAAUUUUAAGAAUAACAAUUUAGGGUUGCAUGCACACACAAAAGCUAAGUACCCUGUUUUCAUUUUUGCAUAAGUCUUUUCUUUAAUUGCUGUUUUGUUUUAACAUUUACAUGUUUGCCAUGGUCUUAUUCUGAAAUAUGCUUGUUGUAUUUUGUGUUUUCUUUAGGUGUCACUUGUGAAUUCAUUCCUUCUAUAAUCUUCUGAGUUGUUUCACAUCUGAAAUUUCACAUGAUUAGUUGAUCUUUGCCUCUUGGCUCUGAAAUUUUGCAUGAUUUGUCGAUCUCUGCCUCCUGAUUUGUCACUUGCUUUACCUCUGAAAUUCUAAAUGGAUAUUUGUCCCUGUCUCCUGAUUUUCAUUUGUUUCACCCCUGAGAUCCUGAUUAGUUUUGGUAAAUGCUUAUCUUUUGGACCCUACUUGUGCCACGUCAUGAUUCUGGGUAGUUGUUUUCAUUUUAGAAUCUCAUACUCCUCAUAGUUCUUUAGUAACUUUGAUCUUCAAUAUUUGCAUGUAUUAGGCUAAUUUGUUUUGCAGAACUUUUAACUGCUGAUAUCAACUUUAGUUUCCUCUUUUUAUUCAUGUAUAUACUGAGUGUUCAAUCCCUAUUAUUCAUUUCUUACUUUCAAGUUUUACUGAGUGUUUUAAUUAGGUUAUUUCUGUAAGGUAAGCAUCAGUUGAUGGGUUUCCUUUUCUGGUCACUUUAAUUCAUUGGUUCUUGACAAAAAAUGCAUUGAACAAUCAUAUAAUCUUGAAUGAUAAUUGUUGCUGAAAAGUCCACAUAAGGAUACUUGUUUAAAAUUUGAGUUGUAUUGGCUAAUUCUUAAACUUUUCAAUUACGCCUGUAAUCCAGACCAAAUUUUGGCCCAUAACUUGAAUACAAUUGACCAGGGUUUGACUUGACCAAACCAAAUGGAAACCAAGGGUAAAACCUUAGGUUGGUUAAUUAGAAAAGGAAACAAGGGUAUAAAGGGUAUUUGAGCUUGAAAGAAUCUGGUAACAACCCCUAGAACAUUCUAGUGAGGGAUUUAGGCAUAAUUUCAGCCUCAAACUUGACGCACAAGUCCGAAAACCAGGGACUAUUUAGGUAAAAUUGAAAUUUAAAUAAGGUACUAAAAGGAAAACAAGGAAAUAAGUGUUUCCCUAAGGCUUUAACUAUAAAAAAGGGUAAUCUGAACAUUUUUAGAGACUUUUGAUUUUUUUCGAGCAGACUUUUUCUUCUGAAGCUUCAAUGAAUUAAGAUAUAUAGUAGGCUCACUUAUAUUCUUCAAAAAUAUUUAGUGCUGUUCGAUUCCUGUUGAAAUUUUACUCUUCUCAAAACCUUCCUAAGUCACUGGGUGUUUAUUGCCUGAUUGGUGUUGCUUGCCUGCUACUUGCUUCAUUACUCAUAGGCUUUAUUUCCCUGUGGCAUUCCAGGUACUAUUCCUUACUCAUAUUCUGAAACUACAGCCCUGUAUAUUCAAGCAUGUAGCUGAUCAUGAAGAUUAAUACAUUUGUUUCCUAGUUCAUACGAUUACUGUCGCUAAUUUUCUGUUGAUAUUAUUGGCUUUGUAUUGAACAUAAACAUGUACUAAUUGUGAGCUGAUUCCAG